GUCGCGGAGAAUGUGUGUAGCCGAGCGGAAGAUUACGUAUUAUAUACGGCUCACAUAAUACUUCCAGUCACCCUACAGCGCUCGAGCACAGUUCUCUGCCGCCAUUUCCGAGCACUGGAGGGCUGCUUCCUCCGCCUGUGUACACGGCUCGCCGGUGUGGAGAUAAGAGGAGCCAUGGAGCAGCGCUCGGCGCCGUAUACCGGCCUUGUGGGUAGAGCCGGGUGUCUGACAGGACAGACAAACACAAGAAGGUGGGGGGGAGGAGAGCGGAGACGGCGCGGCUCGGUCACUGGGGCAUUUUAAUAAGCGGCAAAUUUUUGGUAGAGCCGCUCCGAUUAGGGCUAAACUGAGAACACUUUAACCCUAGGGAGACACAACAGGGCCCUAAUCAUACGUUGUACAGAGCCGUGUGUGACUGGUGUGGAGGAGAGGAGCCGGAGGAGGGCUCACUACAUGUGUAUGGGAGAGAGCCGACACUGCGCUCCCCUCCUCCGAACAAUACACGGAGCGGCCGGGCCUGGAAGUGGCUCCCGUCCUAUACAGACAGUCCUGGUGGGGGAGCCGCACACCCCGUGUAUAGGGAGACAUUCCUUUCCUCCCUUCUCCGGACACCUGCAGCCUGACAUCCCGGGGACGGAAGAGGUGACCGCAGGGAAGGACCGGACACACCGACCAUCGUCCCACAGAGGCCCCCUCGGGAAAAGCAAGUACAGUUUCCUACCCCAGAUGAGUGAUGGGAUUAGUGCUUCACGUGGCACAAAUAGGCCUCUCUUCUCCGCAGUGCAUAGAAGCCUCUUCCUGACAAUCAGAGCCGUGCAGACUGAUUCCUGAGCAAUUAUGUGGUGCCUGCACAGAAUGAUUUGUGUAGUCAUAUUAGAAGCCGGCUUGUUUCCGUGCAAUUUUUAUCAGGCCAGGGAAAGAAGACUAGAUAGAUCCGCGCUCUGUAAUUAUGUCUUAAGCAUGUAAUUGGCGAAGCACAUAUUGCAAUAAACAUAUCUAGACGUAGCACACGGCAAAUCUAAA